rnacentral:lncRNA from 1 species
AGCUUCGGAUUGUAUGAACUCCUCACAUUCAAAGCAGCCCCGCCUGCUGAUUAGCUUUAAAUAUCAGGAGCGACGCCGAGGUCUCCAAAUUUGGAGGGAUUGUACCCUGCCACCUCUGUGGAGAACCAUCAGUUCUUGAUUUCCAAAC